rnacentral:tRNA from 1 species
GAGAGAGGCCUGCCUGCAACCGAGGUUGCUAACCUCUGUGCCCCAGGUUGGAAUCCUGGGCUCUUCUCG